rnacentral:rRNA from 1 species
GCCUAAAGCGUCCGUAGCCGGCUCUGUAAGUUUUCGGUUAAAUCCAUAUGCUCAACAUAUGGGCCGCCGGGAAUACUGCAUAGCUAGGGAGUGGGAGAGGUAGACGGUACUCCGUAGGAAGGGGUAAAAUCCUUUGAUCUAUGGAUGACCACCUGUGGCGAAGGCGGUCUACCAGAACACGUUCGACGGUGAGGGAUGAAAGCUGGGGGAGCAAACCGGAUUAGAUACCCGGGUAGUCCCAGCUGUAAACUAUGCAAACUCAGUGAUGCAUUGGCUUGUGGCCAGUGCAGUGCCGCAGAGAAGUCGUUAAGUUUGCCGCCUGGGAAGUACGUACGCAAGUAUGAAACUUAAAGGAAUUGGCGGGGGAGCACCACAAGGGGUGAAGCCUGCGGUUCAAUUGGAGUCAACGCCAGAAAUCUUACCCGGAGAGACAGCAGGAUGAAGGUCAAGCUGAAGACUUUACCAGACAAGCUGAGAAGUGGUGCAUGGCCGCCGCCAGCUCGUGCCGUGAGGUGUCCUGUUAAGUCAGGUAACGAGCGAGAUCCCUACCUCUAGUUGCCACCAUUACUCUCAGGAGUAGUGGGGCGAAUUAGCGGGACUGCCGCAGUUAAUGCGGAGGAAGGAGGGGGCCACGGCAGGUCAGUAUGCCCCGAA